UACGUAGGGUGCAAGCGUUAAUCGGAAUUACUGGGCGUAAAGCGUGCGCAGGCGGUUGUGCAAGACCGAUGUGAAAUCCCCGGGCCUAACCUGGGAAUGGCAUUGGUGACUGCACGGCUAGAGUGUGUCAGAGGGGGGUAGAAUUCCACGUGUAGCAGUGAAAUGCGUAGAGAUGUGGAGGAAUACCGAUGGCGAAGGCAGCCCCCUGGGAUAACACUGACGCUCAUGCACGAAAGCGUGGGGAGCAAACAGG
rnacentral:rRNA from 1 species